rnacentral:tRNA from 1 species
GGAGAGGUGUCCGAGUGGCCGAAGGAGCAGCACUGGAAAUGCUGUAUACGGGCAACCGUAUCGGGAGUUCGAAUCUCCCCCUCUCCG